CAAAAGAAAUCCACAAGAAGAUCAGAAUGGCUUAAGUCACAGCAUCAAAAAAGACAAAAACAACACCAAGCCACCAACCUCCGUUCCUCCUGUUCUUCUCCUUCCUCUUCCUCUUCCUCUUCUUCUUCCUCUUCCUCCUCUUCUUCGAAGCUCUAGAGAAAGAGAAAGAAAGAUAAAUAAAGUUUGUGUUUUGGUACUUAAAAAAAA
rnacentral:ribozyme from 13 species